rnacentral:rRNA from 1 species
ACCCUUGUCUUUUGCGCACUUGUUGUUUCCUGGGCGGGUUCGCCCGCCACCAGGACCACAUGAUAAACCUUUUUUAUGCAGUUGCAAUCAGCGUCAGUACAACAAAAUGUAAAUCAUUUACAACUUUCAACAACGGAUCUCUUGGUUCUGGCAUCGAUGAAGAACGCAGCGAAAUGCGAUACGUAGUGUGAAUUGCAGAAUUCAGUGAAUCAUCGAAUCUUUGAACGCACAUUGCGCCCUUUGGUAUUCCAAAGGGCAUGCCUGUUCGAGCGUCAUUUGUACCCUCAAGCUUUGCUUGGUGUUGGGCGUCUUGUCUUUGCUCCGCCAAAGACUCGCCUUAAAACGAUUGGCAGCCGGCCUACUGGUUUCGCAGCGCAGCACAUUUUUGCGCUUGCAAUCAGCAAAAGAGGACGGCACUCCAUCAAGACUCCUUCUCACGUUUGACCUCGGAUCAGGUAG